rnacentral:rRNA from 1 species
GGGCGGUGGGGGUCUAUACAUGCAGUCGAGCGGACUUGACGAGGAGCUUGCUCCUCUGAUGGUUAGCGGCGGACGGGUGAGUAACACGUAGGCAACCUGCCUGCAAGACCGGGAUAACUAGCGGAAACGUUAGCUAAUACCGGAUAAUUUAUCGCUUUGCAUGAAGCGGUAAUGAAAGGCGGAGCAAUCUGUCACUUGGAGAUGGGCCCGCGGCGCAAUAACUAAUUGGGGAGGUAACGGCUCACCAAGGGGACGAUGCGUAACCGACCUGGGGGGGUGGACGGGCACACUGGGACUGAAACACCGGCCAGACUCCCACCGGAGGGCACAGUAGGGAAUCCUCCCCAAUGGGCGAAAGCCUGAAGGAACAACCCCCCCUGGGUGAUGAAAGUUUUCCGAACCUAAAGCUCUGUUGCCCAGGAAAAACGACCGUUAAAGUAACUGCUUACCGAAUGRCSGUACCUGAGAAAAGAAAARCCCCSGGCUAAMUWCSUGSCARCAAGCCGCSGGUAAUAUCSUUAGRGGGGCAAGCGGUUGGUCCSGAAUUAUWKGGCGUWAAGACGCGCGCACRGCSGUCACUUAAGUYUGGUGKUUWAGGSUAAGGGYUCMAACCCUGGKUCGCAACUKGAAACUKGGUGACUUGAGUGCAGAAGARGAGARUGGAAUUYCACGUGUARCGGUGAAAUGCGUAGAGAUGUGGARGAACACCMGUGGCGAAKGCGACUCUYUGGGCUGKWACUGACGSUGARGCGCGAAAGCSUGGGGAGCAAACAGGAWUAGAUACCCUGGUARUYCACKCCGUAAACGAUGRAUGCUAGGUGUUARGGGUUUCGAUWCCCUUGGUGCCGAAGUUAACACAUUAAGCAUUYCGCYKGGGGAGUACGGUYGCMAGACUGAAACUCAAAGGAAUUGACSGGRACCCGCACWAGCAGUGGAGUAUGYGGUUUAAYUYGAAGCAACGCGAAGAACCUUACCAGGUCUKGACAUCCCUYUGACCGGUYUAGAGAUAGGCCUUUCCUUUSGGACAGAGGAGACAGGUGGUGCAUGGUUGUUSYCAGCUCGUGKCGUGAGAUGUUGGSUUAAGUUCCGCAACGAGCGCAACCCUUGAUWUUAGUUGCCAGCCGGUUAGGGUGGGMACUCUAGAAUGACUGCCGGUGACAAACCGGAGGAAGGCGGGGAUGACGUCAAAUCAUCAUGCCCCUUAUGACCUGGGCUACACACGUACUACAAUGGCCAGUACAACGGGAAGCGAAGUCGCGAGAUGGAGCCAAUCCUAUCAAAGCUGGUCUCAGUUCGGAUUGCAGGCUGCAACUCGCCUGCAUGAAGUCGGAAUUGCUAGUAAUCGCGGAUCAGCAUGCCGCGGUGAAUACGUUCCCGGGUCUUGUACACACCGCCCGUCACACCACGAGAGUUUACAACACCCGAAGUCGGUGAGGUAACCGCAAGGAGCCAGCCGCCGAAGGUGGGUGAAUUA